UACGGGGGGGGCAAGCGUUGUUCGGAAUUACUGGGCGUAAAGGGUUCGUAGGUGGCCUGCUAAGUCAGACGUGAAAUCCCUCAGCUUAACUGGGGAACUGCGUCUGAGACUGGUGGGCUUGAGUGCAGGAGAGGAACGCGGAAUUCCAGGUGUAGCGGUGAAAUGCGUAGAUAUCUGGAGGAACACCGGUGGCGAAGGCGGCGUUCUGGACUGCUACUGACACUGAGGAACGAAAGCGUGGGGAGCGAACAGG
rnacentral:rRNA from 1 species